rnacentral:rRNA from 1 species
UACGGAGGGUGCAAGCGUUGUCCGGAUUUAUUGGGUUUAAAGGGUGCGCAGGUGGUUUAUUAAGUCAGUGGUGAAAGACGGUCGCUCAACGAUUGCAGUGCCAUUGAAACUGGUAGACUUGAGUAAAGUAGAGGUGGGCGGAAUUGAUAGUGUAGCGGUGAAAUGCAUAGAUAUUAUCAAGAACUCCAAUUACGUAGGCAGCUCACUUGGCUUUUACUGACACUCAUGCACGAAAGUGUGGGUAUCAAACAGGAUUAGAUACCCUGGUAGUCCC